UACGUAGGGCGCAAGCGUUGUCCGGAAUUAUUGGGCGUAAAGAGCUCGUAGGCGGCUUGUCACGUCGGUUGUGAAAGCCCGGGGCUUAACCCCGGGUCUGCAGUCGAUACGGGCAGACUAGAGUGCUGUAGGGGAGACUGGAAUUCCUGGUGUAGCGGUGAAAUGCGCAGAUAUCAGGAGGAACACCGGUGGCGAAGGCGGGUCUCUGGGCCGAUACUGACGCUGAGGAGCGAAAGCGUGGGGAGCGAACAGG
rnacentral:rRNA from 1 species